rnacentral:ribozyme from 1 species
GGGGGGUGGCGAAAGUCACCCCUUGUUUGUAAUGUGGCCUAAAUUUUUAUUUAGAACGUUCCAAGCCGUUAAAACACAGAGGACAAA